rnacentral:sRNA from 1 species
AGUCUCCUGAUUCAAAACGUAAAUCUGAAAUUGCGCUCCUCAUGCGAUACAUGAGGGAAUGCCGUUAA